rnacentral:rRNA from 1 species
AGUGAACGCUGGCGGCAGGCCUAACACAUGCAAGUCGAGCGGCAGCGCGGGGGCAACCCUGGCGGCGAGCGGCGGACGGGUGAGGAAUUCGUCGGAAUCUGCCUUUUUGUGGGGGAUAACGUAGGGAAACUUACGCUAAUACCGCAUACGUCCUACGGGAGAAAGUGGGGGACCGCAAGGCCUCACGCAGAAAGAUGAGCCGACGACCGAUUAGCUAGUUGGUGGGGUAAAGGCCCACCAAGGCGACGAUCGGUAGCUGGUCUGAGAGGAUGAUCAGCCACACGGGGACUGAGACACGGCCCAGACUCCUACGGGAGGCAGCAGUGGGGAAUAUUGGACAAUGGGCGCAAGCCUGAUCCAGCCAUGCCGCGUGUGUGAAGAAGGCCUUCGGGUUGUAAAGCAUUUUUGUCCGGAAAGAAAUCCCUGGAGCUAAUACCUUCGGGGGAUGACGGUACCGGAAGAAUAAGCACCGGCUAACUUCGUG